GAUGAAGAACGCAGCGAAAUGCGAUACGUAAUGUGAAUUGCAGAAUUCAGUGAAUCAUCGAGUCUUUGAACGCACAUUGCGCCCCCUGGUAUUCUGGCGGGCAUGCCUGUUCGAGCGUCAUUACAACCCUCAGGCCCCCGGGCCUGGCGUUGGGGAUCGGCGGAAGCCCCCUGCGGGCACAACGCCGUCCCCCAAAUACAGUGGCGGUCCCGCCGCAGCUUCCAUUGCGUAGUAGCUAACACCUCGCAACUGGAGAGCGGCGCGGCCACGCCGUAAAACACCCAACUUCUGAAUGUUGACCUCGAAUCAGGUAGGAAUACCCGCUGAACUUAAGCAUAUCAAUAAGCGGAGGA
rnacentral:misc_RNA from 1 species